GUGCCAGCCGCCGCGGUAAUACGGGGGGGGCAAGCAUUGUUCGGAAUUACUGGGCGUAAAGGGCUCGUAGGUGGCCAACUAAGUCAGACGUGAAAUCCCCAGGCUCAACUUGGGAACUGCGUCUGAUACUGGAUGGCUUGAAUUCGGGAGAGGGAUGCAGAAUUCCAGGUGUAGCGGUGAAAUGCGUAGAUAUCUGGAGGAAUACCGGUGGCGAAGGCGGCAUCCUGGACCGAGAUUGACACUGAUGAGCGAAAGCUAGGGGAGCAAACGGGAUUAGAUACCCCGGUAGUCC
rnacentral:rRNA from 1 species